GAUGAACGCUGGCGGCGUGCCUAAUACAUGCAAGUCGAGCGAACAGACGAGGAGCUUGCUCCUCUGACGUUAGCGGCGGACGGGUGAGUAACACGUGGAUAACCUACCUAUAAGACUGGGAUAACUUCGGGAAACCGGAGCUAAUACCGGAUAAUAUAUUGAACCGCAUGGUUCAAUAGUGAAAGACGGUUUUGCUGUCACUUAUAGAUGGAUCCGCGCCGCAUUAGCUAGUUGGUAAGGUAACGGCUUACCAAGGCAACGAUGCGUAGCCGACCUGAGAGGGUGGUCGGCCACACUGGAACUGAGACACGGUCCAGACUCCUACGGGAGGCAGCAGUAGGGAAUCUUCCGCAAUGGGCGCAAGCCUGACGGAGCAACGCCGCGUGAGUGAUGAAGGUCUUCGGAUCGUAAAACUCUUUUAUUAGGGAAGAACAAAUGUGUAAGUAACUAUGCACGUCUUGACGGUACCUAAUCAGAAAGCCCCGGCUAACUACGUG
rnacentral:rRNA from 1 species